ACGUGGCUUCUCUUUCUCUGGGGCCACGAAGCUGGUGGGAGGGAAACCCCGAGCAGCCAGACUCCACCUCGGCCACCUUUGUCCUGAGACCCGUCCUGAGAAUGAGGACAGCGCUGAGCAAAGCACCUCCAGGCGACAGGGAGAGAAAGAUUCCAAACCAAAAGAAACCUUUCCAACCUUCCGGGCAUGAUUUCUGCAACCAUGCCCAGGACACUAAUUCCCUAUGGAGUAAGAAAUCAGAGAGAGCAAGCAGGGGAGAGAGAGAGAAGGAGACACAGAUUCCGAAGCAGACUCCAACUCUGAGCUGUCAGCACAGAGCCCGACGCGGGGCUCAAACUCAUGAACCGUGAGAUGACGAGGAACUGAAGUCAGACGCUCAACCGACGGAGCCGCCCAGGCGCCCCAGAGCAUGGCUUGUUUUUUAGUUUUUGGUUUUGUUUGUUUAAUAUUCUUCCAUGUGUAGAAUUCCUUCUGAGAGGUUUUCUUGUAACAAAUUACCCAGUAGUGAGCUUGUGUGAGGGGAAAGUCCCACCUCCAAUUCCUGGCAGCUACUGAUCCCUCCCCGGGGAGAACUGAGAUCUGAACACAAUACUGGGCUUACACCGAUUAGCAGCUAGAGGCGAGUGUGCUGGAGAACAAAGCCCACCCAGACAGGGGAGCAGAGCGGAGACCUGCCCCUUCUGGACUAGCCAGAGACAGAGCAGUCGCUGACGAUGAUUCAUAGAAACUGACAAGGAAAUUCUGAAGUUUAUCUGGAAAGGGGCACCUGGGUGGCUCAACUGGUUGAGCGUCUGACAUCGAUCGGCUCAGGUCGUGAUCUCGCGGUUAAUGAGUUCAAGCCCCACAUCAGGCUGCUGACAGUGGUGGAUCCCUCUUCAGAUCCUCUCUCCCCCUCUCUCUGCCCUUUUCUCGCUUGUGCUCUCUUACAAAUAAAUAAACAGAUAAAACUU